CUGUGUUCUUGCCCCUUGGCUUUGCUUUUGAGCAAUGAUUAACCAGGGGACCCAGGCAAGGCUGGAUCUGCCCACUGGGCUUCCUUCCUGGUCUCAGUCAUUGUUUGUUUUGUGUCUUGGCUUGUGAACUCACGGUGACUGAGAGCUUCUUGAAGGAAAGUUCUCAAAUCCAGCCUCCAAGAACAACUAGAAAACCCAAACACUUUUGUUUCUCUGAAAUUUGCAGAUACAUUUACAUACAGUGACUGUCUCAAUGCUGCCAUUUGGGGGAGUCUCAUAAAGACUUGGUUUGAAGAAGCACCUCGCCAUUUAGAUUCUUCUGCCAGGACAUUUUUUUGUUUUGCUUCCUUCUCCCUUUUCUUCUCUAGCAGAGAACAGGCAGGUUGGGAAACUUGACUUUGACCAGGAGAAGAAGUAUGCGCGGGGCAGGGAAUAACAGGCACCAGGAAGAUUAAUUGCCCUCGUUGGAAUCCGGCUUGACUGGGUGAGGUGAGACAGUUCAAUUAUUUAAUCAUGUUGGUGCUCUGGGCUCCCAAGGCCUUGUGUCUCGGACAGCCCUCCCCACCUGCUGAAUUUAUGUGAGGAAUUGCUCUUCGCUGGCUGUUCCCAGGUGAACCCUCAGGCAGAGGGUGAGCAGCCGUGGGUUUUGGAUGGAGAUGGGAACAUCUCCUUCUCCUCCAAGGGCUGCGUGGGUGGAGGUCUCCAUGCUUAUGUGGGAAGCUGGCUACUAACCAGGCUGUGUGUCCUCUCCUGUCACUGGGAAGAGCAUGCUCUGUGCCUGGAGGGAGCAUGCUCUUCCCUCCUGCCCAGCCUUUCUGGGCUUUCUUUUGGCUGGAGAAUGGCUACCCACUGGAGCUACAGGUCAGAGCACUGUUCAGCCAGAAUGUGCCAGAGCCACGCAGUCCAGUUGUUCUGUGAUGAUGGAGAUGUUCCAAUAAGGGGGGCAGGGAGCAGACGUGGCCUUUAGCACCUGAACUAUGGCUGGGGCAAGUAAGGAAGUGAAUUUUCAAUUUAAAUUAAUUUAAAGUUCAAUAGUCAUCUGUGGCCAGAGGACACUAUAUUGGGUGGUAAAAGACUAGACUUCACCCACAAGGUCCAGUGCAGAUGCUGAUUUUCUUUUCUUUUCUUUUUUUCUUUUUUUGGUAGGGCUUGAGUCUUGCACUGUCAUAUGGAAGGGCUUUUUUUUAUAAUUAAUUUAAUUCUUUAAACUUUUUAAAUAGUACACUUAAUUAUUCAGAAUAUGGUUUUCACUGACCUAUGUGUACACUCAUAUGAUGCACUCCAAUCAUAUCCACCCCUCAUUACCUUCUCUGAACUUCUCUAAAAAUCUCCCUGUCACUUUUGUGUCAUCCCCUGCCCUUAGUUGCCACGUGUAGGGAGAACCUGCUACACUUGUCUUCCUGAGUCUGACUUAUUUUCCUCAACAUCGUGUGCUCCAGUUCCAUUUAUUUUCCUGCAAAUGACAGAAUUUCAUUCUUCUUUAUGACUGAGUAAUACUCCAUGAUGUAAAUAUACCACAGUUUCUUUAUCCAUUCAUGUGUUGAUGGGCUCUUCCUCGGAGUCCAGAACUUGACUGCUGUGAGGUGUGCCUCAAUAAACAGGGGCACGCAGUGUCUCUAACCUAUACUGACUUUCAUUCAGGGGGGCUGUUUUGUGCUAGUCCUUCUGCUACUAGUGUAGUUUUUUUGGACACAUCUCACCCUGCCCUCUUGCUUCUCAUCGUACCCCUCUGCUGCCACAUCUUGGCCACGUCACUCCUCAUUAACAUACAAGAAGGGACAGGAGAAUGGGAUUUUACACACACAGCUAUGAUUUCUUGUUUCCUGAUGUGGCAAAGACCUUAAUCCUAUAGCGACGGCUUGUGUCGGGGUGGAAUGACUCAGGCCUACCCCUCCGGGCACUGGAGAACUUCACUGUGUAUGUGUAGACUUCCGCCAUGGUGGUGCCACCCUUCUGGUGUCAGGCAGCCUGGCAGUCAGGUGCUGUGUUUGGCCCAGGUUUUCAAUUGUUCAGAGACCUCAUUGUCUAUCACAAUGAGCCCUUAAAAAAAAAUGUCCUUAUGAGAUAAAUGCUAUGGUGCGAACUAGACACAAGAAGAAAGGGUUAGGACACACGAACUAUCACUAUAACUAAAAAGGGAAGACAACCACAGCGCCAUCACAAUUGUCCCUGUCACUCAGGUUGAGUUAUGGAGUCAUAAUUAGUGACUUCCAAUCCCCCUUGUCCUCUAACAUCCAACCUGCCCCGGAGCUGAGGAACUCAUCAUUCUCCUGCUGUUGCCACCUACACUUGGCCCCGGAUGCUUCAUGCUCUAGUUGCUAAAAUUACACAAAUAGAAGAAAAAAUGAGCCUGUGAAGUCCUUCUCUUGGGUCCUGUGGUUUACACUUGCUGGUUAAUUUGAGCCUUACUGUUGGGGUCUCAGAGUGACAGAAACAGCAGCCAAUUGCUGUUGUACAAGCAAAAAGUGCACAUAGCCUAGGUGCUAGUGCCCUUGAAAAACGUCCCCAGACAGGCAGCUCGCGGAGAGAGCUCUUUAAAUUAAGCUAGAUUUGUAAAGAGCCCAUGUACUGCCUGACUUGGAGCUAAAUCCUGCAGCAGAAAGGAAUCCGGGGCUGGCUGCAAGUGAACAGAGACAGCUCAGGCACCAAAGCAUGAGCCCAGGAGUGGCGGGGAGAGGGGUGAUGUGGGAACAGACAGCAUCCUGAGGUUUGAGAGAAAGAAAAACAUCAAAACAGAGGGAGCAUCCAGAGACAAAGCACAGAGACAUUGUCCCAGAAAGCUGGGAUGCACAGAAUGGAGAAUGGAGAUCAGGAAUAAGAGAGGGGACUUGCAUGAGAAAGGAAAAAGCCAGAGUAAGAAAAGAAAGAUUAUCUUUUUCUUCUGUAUCUCAUGAAAGAGACAUGGCUGAGACCAAGUCAUUCCAGCAGCUGGCCUGACAGCCACAGAGCUACUUCCCCACCUCGAGCCCUGAGUUCAUGAGCUAAGCAGGCACACACGCCUCGCCCUCAUUCUGCCCUCCAGGCUAGACGUUCACCUGCAGCAUGAGGAGCUUCCUCAUAUAUCCCAACACAGUGGGCUUCCAAUCUCCUGGAGAAGAACCAACACAACAGGAAGGUGGCUUCUCCCCUCAACUCCUGUGACCUCCUUGCCAAUGCAGCCUCGUCCCAUCUUCUCUGCAGUGGAGAGAACACUGCCAGUUGACAUCCAGCUGCCUCCUAUUUUGGGGACCCUCACUUUGAUGGGCUCUAGAACCUCUUGGUGAAGCUUAAUAAGAAUACAGUUUCCUGAGCCCCAGCUCCCAGAGAUUUGGGUUCUCAAGGGAAGAUAGCGUCUUCAAAAAAUGUCCAGGUUGGGACAUUCCAGGGAAUGGGCAGAGUGGUAAAAUGUGAAAAUUUUAGGGCUUAGAGGAUGUAGCCAUCUAAUUCAAUGCUAGUUAAAAAUGCUCCCAAAAUGCUCCCAAAAUGCACUUUUAUGACAUAACUUUUAUCUACUUGAUUGGAAAUUAAAAAAAAUAGAUUUUCUUUUCCUCCUUCUAUAAGUUAUUGGGUAGAAAAAUACUCCUUUUUUUUUUUCCUACAGAAACGAACAAAAAGCAAAGUCCACAUUGUAAAUGCAUCUUAGGGGGUUCCAGGUGGGGAGUACAUUGUGCUUGGGGACCUCUUCACUUUGGAGUCUGGCAUGGAUGGCAUCCUCCCAGCCAGGGCCAUGUCUGAGUGUCCCCAGUACCACCUUGUCAGUGUUUGCCACACUUCUGCUGAGGGCCACUGAGAGAGUCAGGGGUGGGAAAAAUGGGAUAGAAUUCACCAAAGGCCCUGGUUUGCUUGCCUGUCACUAUGGGAAUGAAGGAGAAUCACUCUUUAGAUUGUUUCCCUCCAUCUAUGAAAAGGGUCUAAGUGGUGAUCCUCAUGGAGUUGUAGUUAUUGCAUGAAGUAAGGUCUAGAAACUGCUUUGCAGAAUAAGUGUUCAAGGAACAUGACCAUCCCUUGGAGGCGUCUGUCUCCUUGUCUCACAGAGAAUUACCUGCCCUCGUCAAUACCCACAUUUUUUAUAUGCCUUUAUGUGUUCUUAGAAAAAAGCCUUACCUCGGACCUUAACUCAUGCAAAACUUAUGCUGUUCGUGUUGUAAGUCUUAGCAGCCUUCGGGUAUGCUGGUUGGUCAUGUGGGCAUGUUGUUUAUAAGAGGACCAGCAGCUGCUACCUUUGGUGCUGAGUUUGGGCGGCUAUAGGUCAACUUGGCUUUGGGGCCUGGCCAAGUUGUGUAUGGCUGGAAAGCACAAGAACCGGCAGAAUUCUCCAUUUGUUUUAGUUUUGAAAUGGCAUUUGUACCCCGAUUUAAAGAAUGGACAUGCUGAAUUCUCAACUGAGCCUUGUCCUUGAUCCCUUCUGGGCAAUAUACAAGAUGGAGAUUCUACUGCCCUUGUGGGAAUUCAAACAUGUCAUACCCACUGACAGGCAAUCAUGAUUCUAAUGAGGGAAGAAGAAUUUAAUUCAAUAAAAAACCUAUUAGAAUUGACAGUACAAAUGUAAACAGGUCCCUGGUGGAUAAUUCUUGCUGGGCCUUCUCCAUGGCUGUAUUGGUUGACAUGUACCCUAACCAAGCUUGGAAGACAGAGGCUCCGGUCCGUUUCCACGGGAGGGGACGGAUCUGCCCCCCUCUCUUACCCGAGGCACUGCUUUGAAACUGUGUACCAGGCCGUUGGGCGUAACCUGUAAAAUGACUUUUUUGGUCUCAUUUUUAGGGGAGGAGGGAUUCUGUGAUGCCUGAAGACAGAUAUUGCUGGCGAUUAUUUUUUUGUUGCUAUUUUUCAGAAGAUUUGAACUGUCAAAAUCAACUGCUUUGGUUUCCCCCUAAGGAUUUUGACUUAUCAUGCAGAAUAGUUUUAUGAAUGUCUGGAGUUUUUUCCUUCUGUUGUAGCAACUGGAUUUUAAAGACUUUUCAUUGGAGCAGUUUGUGAAUUGCCACCCAUUUUGGAAAAGGUAAAUUUCACCCAACAAAUACACAGUUCCAUCUUUGGCAGAUAUUCUUAACAAGAACUAAAUAGCCUUGUUUCAUGAUUAUGUCAUAGCACCAACAAUUCCUUGUACAAACAGUGGUUUUUCUUCCUUAUUGUUUUCUUUUAAUGUUUCGGAGUAGAGAUAGUGGUAUGUUUGUUCUUCACUCUUAAAAAACAAAAAAAGACAGAAUAAACCUAAACAUUGACGUCACUAAAAAACAAAACAAAACAAACUUUGGUUCAUUAAUAACACUAGGGAUAAAUUUACUAUUAGUAUUCCAAUCUUCUCUAUUUUCUUAUUUUUAAGUCUUUGCUUCAAAAUUGACUCCAUCAUCGUUCAUCUUUGGCUUUUUUUUAAUUUUUUUUUUUUUUUAGUUUGUAGAUGGACCCAAUAUCCUUAUUUUAUUUAUUUAUUCUUAUUGUGGUGCUGAGGACCGAACCUAGUGCCUCACACGUGCCGGAUGACUGUGCUACUGCUGAGCCACAACCCCAGCCCCACCUUUGACUUUCUUAAUGGCAAUUUAUAUACAAAAGCAAGAGACUCGCCCUCUGCCCAGAGGUUCUUCCUCUGCAGUGGCUUGGUUGUCUGGGAGUCAGAGUGUCCUCGACACUGGGAUACUUGGCCUAGGAAGCUGUGUGCACUGUGUGCUCUGUUGGGAUAAAUAAUAUCGGACACACAAAUGCCAUAAUUAGUUUUCAGAUAGGUCGAUUCUGUAGGAUUACAAAUAAUGCGCCUUCAUUGUCUUUUUUGUGACUAAAGACUUUCUUGAUUAAUGGAGGCUAAAAGGGCAGCUCUGAUCAUAUGAGGGUCAUUGUGACAUUUUUGACUCUACAAAGGAGAUUGAUCCUGUAUUUCUAAGUAUUGGGAAUACUUGCCUUAAACCAAGUGGGUGUUCAGGGUCUGAGCCUUUACUUGUAUUAUGAAUGUGUUUGUCAUCCUUAAGAUGUCACCCCUGCCUUCACUUCCACCUGGAAAGGGAGAGGACCUUGUUGGUCAGCGGCUCCAGGCUGAGGCGAGCUGGCACUGCCCCACCCCCCGUCACAGUUCAGCAGUGCUGUGGGGCUCGCUGUGCACUUGCGUUGGCUCUGCCCUCUGAAAGCCUUGACUAAAUAUUUAUUGCAUUUUUUUUUUGCAGUAACAACGAACAAUUGUCCAUUUCUUGGCAUAGCUUUCCUCUUGCCUCAUGUUUUCUACUCUCUUGUUCUUGCUCAUGACUGCUCUGUCUCCACAAACUAAGGUGCAGAACCUUACAAGCAUCUGGUGUUGCUUAUCCAAAGCUAUUCUGAAGGAAGAAAGGAGGAAACUCCUAUUUCCCAUGUGGUUGCUACGUGCUGAGUUUGGACCUUUAUCCCUUGUAGACAUCGUGACUGCCAUGUUCACAGAGAGGCAUCUGGGGCUUGGCCAGGGGAAUGGCAAGGUGCUGGUGUUCGCUGCAAAGUAGGUGGGCAGCCCAGCUGUCCGUCCCUGGUCUGGAAAUUUCUAAAGUUAAUCCUUUGUUACAUCCUUCCCUCCAUAUCUCCCUCCUUCUUGCCUCUUUUCCCUUCCUCCCUCUUUCUUUCCCUCCCACCCUUCCUCUUCUCUUUACAAGAGCUCAGGAGCUUUACUUUAUGUGCAAGAUUUCACCCAUGAUAUUAAAUAGACAUCUAUUGUUUUGGAGAUAUUUUUUCCAUGUCUAGGAGAAUCUGAACCUAGUAUCUGAUAUUUUGGGGUUUAUGUCUUGGACACCUAUAGAUGAGCAGUUCUAAAUGGAUCAGGAAGUCAAGUUUCUUCCUUUGUUUACCUAGAAAGGAGAGUGCUCAUUUCAACCACAGAAACAGGUUCCACAUACAAACUUUAAACCAACAUCAAAUCUCUUGCCAGUCACAAUCAUCGGCAUUUUAAAGUUAUUCUCCCCAGAGGUUUAUGUGGAUUCCUUUACCGAGGGGCCUCGGCUGGGUCCUGAUCCCCCUGCAUCCAGAGACCAUGAGUAGUAUGUAAACACUCUGCCCAGCCUUGCUUGUUGGCCAUUUCUCUUUUGAUCUAACUCCGGUUUCAUCAUUAAUUCUGUAAUUUUGCUUGUUCUGGCCGAGUCUUGGAGCUGUGAGCAGUAAUGGACAGCUCGCCAUCCUGACCUUUCUGCCUCUCGCAUUCUUUUGCAGAAGCACUUGAAACAGUAAACAGCACCGUGGAGAAUUCCCCAGUGGAGCUGCGGUCUGCUUCCUUUCGCAGGCCCGCAGGCCUGUUUGCUGGCAAUUCAGGCACGUGUAAGUGUGCGUGCCCCUGUCCAGGCCCCCCGGCUCGUGGCACUGAAGUCAGUGGCCUUCUUUUUGAGUGUGCAUCACGCCUGGGUUUUUUGGUGUGAGAGGCAAUCUCCUACGACCUUACCUUCUCAGCCACGGAGGAGAAGGGCGAAACAUUUGAGCUUCGUAGGACAAAAUCCACUGACUUCCAAAGAAAAGAAGAGUGCAGAAGAGGAAGGAAGAGAUGUGGAGUCAAAGUUGGAACUCACAUGUCUUUGGAUCUCUUUGUGAAAGUCGGCAAAGCCUCUGAGGGCUGAGAGCUUUGCGCUGAAUAAACACUCAGAAAUGGAGAGCUGCUGACCUCAGACUCCUUCAGCCCUUGACCUGGAAGCUCUUGCAGGUCAACUGCCCGCCUCCCUCGCUGUCCCUGAGCACACAAUGUUUCCCUGCCAUGGGAGGGGUCUGCUGACCCUGACUGCAGUGCUGUGGGUCCCCCCGGCGAGACGAAGCUGGACCUUUGGCUUCUCAGGACGUUCUAGUGCUCCAGGAAAGUGGAUAACAGGAGCAAAUUGGAUGCUGUCCUUACAGGAUGAUGACCCUCCCCAUCUGCCACAGCUACAGAGAAAAUGGCGGGGGGCUCGGGGCGAGACCAUUGAGCGCUUGGAGCCCAGACAGGCUCUUAGAUGUGCUGUGCUAAUUAGCCAAUUAUUCUCCCCGUUUUUACCAAGGUCACUACCCUGGGCCGAGGAGGGCUGUUCUCUUUUUGUUUAGCUUCUCCUCAGCUCUGUGAGGCCUUAGAAGAAGAAAGUAACAAGAGGAACGAGAGCCAUGAUAUGACUGUGAGGAAGAACACGAGACCCCAUUGAAACAAAACUUCCAGUCCUUUAUUCAUUACUCCUUCAUUCAUUCAUCAGAUAUUUUUAGAGCAUCUUCAGUGUGCACAGAACCAAGCUAAUUGCUAACAUCACAAAUGAUGAUGUUAUGAAGGUUAUGAAGAUUUUCAUCCUUCCAGAAGAACUCUUGGCAUGGGUAGGUGAUAAAGUGGUGCAUGCCUCUCCUGGGAACGGCAGGGAGUUCAGUCGCCCUUCCUAAGGAUGCUUGAGAGGGCACCUGUGUCUGUCAGCUCUCUCUGCUCUUGUCCCUUGUCACUUCUUCUUGUUUCUCCCCUGGCUGCUCUGGCUCUCUGUAUUCUGAUUUGCCCCAAAGUAUGAACAAAUUUUCUUCCUUUACUGCCCAGGACUGCAGCUGUGAGCUGUGGUAAAUAGAUCACAGUGGUGUUUUAAAAGUUACUGUGAGAGAAUUACAACGCAGAGAGGCAAGACUUGCUAUCACUGUUCCAAGGGCAUCUCUCAGCCCUGGCCACUGGCUGUCUUUCUGGUGGAGUCCACACCCACCUCCGUGUUGUCCCUUCUACUAGCCUUGGGGGACUUUCUUAGUGGCCAGGCGAUGUCUCCUUAGAGGUGCACCAGGCCACCCAAGGGCUCGAUUUUAACACUGGCCUCUUUUAGUUUUAGUCUUUCUUUUUGCAUCUGUCAUUGGGCACUUUCUUUGCAGAUUAAAAAGUACACCACAGUGUUUUCCCAAAUUAAAAAACAAAAACAAACAAACUAUUUUACCCUGUAGAUAAAUUCUUUUGCACAACCUAGAAUGCAGAAAUAGCCGUGGGCAGCUUUUAGAGGAGCAUUCUGCUUCAUAAUUAAGAUGACAGGGCCGCUGCUCGCAGUCUGAGCAUACUGGGAGAGACAAUGGGUGAACGCGCUUUGCAGCAGAAUAUCGUAAGUGACAUGACAGGGCUGUGCGUGGGCUGCUAUAGGACCACACAGGAGGGAGCGUUUAACUCUACCCGCUGAUCCUCCCAGAAGGCUUUAUAGAUUGACCUGAGUUAGGAAUUUUCCAGGAAGAUAAUGGGGAGACAGCAUUCCAAGCAGCUAGAACAGUAUGUGAAAAUCACAGAGGCAUGAACGAGACUGACAAUCUGGAGGAACAACAAGUUUUUGUGUGACGGUAGCAUAAGAUGGGGGAAGGGCAGGACCACAUAGCAUGUCCAGAGGUUGGGACGCAGGGUGUGCCUCCAGCAUAUAAAAUUCAACCAAUGAAAUAAAUAUUGGUUGAAAGAAUGAAUGGUAAGCUGGUCAUGGGUUCCAAAGACCUGGAUAGUAACCAGCAUCUCGGGCACAUACAUCUGGCUGAGGAGUUGCAUUGUAGAAGUUUUUGAAUGGCAUCUCUUUUUCUGCCAGUAUUAAGGGGUAAUUUGGGAAUGAUUUUAAUAAAGAGGCAAGUUACAAUGAUGUGGUCAGGGGGAGGAGGACUUCAAGGGACAGUGAAGUGCCUGCAGGCUGUUACCAGCCCUCAAGAGGAGAGGCAUGGAGUGUCACUGGAACCCAGAGGGGAAAGUUAUGUCGGUGGGCCGUCUUAGCAGGACUUGUGAACUUCAUGGAAGUUGACAGACACCUGGAAGAGGCUGAGGGAAAAAUACUUUGCUAUUAUUCUCCUCUCUCCCUUCAAUCUUCUAACAGGCCUUCCCAGUGGCUGAAGGACUAGGGAGCCUGCGCCCCUUCGCAGGCAGAGACUUAGGUGGUGGUUUACGGCCACCUUCGUCUUUGCUCACGCUCAAGGUCAGGAUGCACAUGGAGGCGAACACGAGUCUCCCUCCAAGGACUCCACCUGUUUUCAUCUUCGGCUGUAUCUGUGGCUUCUGAGUUAUCCAGGCUUCAAAUUAGUCUUGAGGCAAUUAGGUUUCCCUUCUUUCCAUAGAUGCAGCUCAUUUUUUGAUCUCUAGAGGACGGUCUGGUGAACACUUGACGGACAGCCCAGCCCAGUUGGUUGCUGAGGUUGGAGAGAGUGAGUUCAGCUGGAUGCUGCAGUAGCAAGGCAGAAGGAUCUUCUUGUGGAUUUGAGAUCUGAUCUGAAAAUGCGAAGUCUCAAAUAUAAAAAAGGACAUCACUGGACUAUUUGUGCCACGACUGAACACAGCCCUCACAUGUGACCUCCUAGAAGGGGAAGGCAGGUGACAUGUGCUGGUUGUCUACCAUGUUCAGGUCCAGGUCAGGUGCUUUGCAAGACUGGAGCUUUGGAGUAAUUGAACUUGGAGGUCCUCAUUAGUCACCAGCAGAUUCACAGCUGUAUUGAAAACAACCUUGAUAAAAAAGAAAACUUCCCAUCUCUGUGAUUUACUUCUGUUAAACCGGAGAAUUUUUUUUUUUUUGCAGACCUUUGAAAAAUUAAACUAAUGCAAAAACCUCUGUGGGGAAUUGUUGCCACAGCUGGGUGGAACGCAUCAACUAUUAAAUAAUGACACUUCACGAGGCAGCUGAGCAUAGAGCAUGGUGGCCCACGGAAGCUGCAGAAAAAUCUAAAUAGACAGAAUGCAGAAGCUCAGUAGGAAUUUGACUAGGCUAAUAAUAUUUCAUGGGUAUAUAAACCUGUAAUUUAGCCUCCGGAUUUCUGCCCUCUGUUUCCCUUCUCUACUUGGUUUUUCUCAUGUACUUUCCAACAAGGAAAAUAAGGUUGUCAUAAACCUUCCACCUUGGUUGAUGGAUUCAUUGCAAGCAGCGGAGGCUUUUUUUUACUACACACCACAAUUAGGAGUCAGUGGGGCUCAAUGAAACUAGAGGAUUUUACACAGUUGAGCCUGGCAGCUCUUUGGUUUGUUGGCAAUCUCUUGGUGAUCCUGAAGCCCCUCUUCUGGGAAUUCCAUUUUUACAAAUGAAGCCAACCCAGGAGGCUCUAACUUUGACCACCUCUUCCUCAGUGAAGUCCUAGUAACCCGGGUGGGUGAACUAACAUUUCCCUUUGUAGGCUUUGCUAAUACCCAAUUCCUUUGCCUAAAUGAAGAUGAUAACCUGCAUCAGAGAGACAGAAGUGUGGCUUCCCGAACACCGCGUUAUUUGAAGGAAAUGUACUGACGAAUGCUAGCAUGAAAUCCUAACCUUUCUGACUUAGCUGAAACCAAAUUGAAAUUAUUGUUGCCAUCAAUCAGGAACAGUUUUUAAAACCUCUGCCUUCUGGAAAUCCUUUCUCUGUGACUUUAAUAGCCCUGGUUAUCCCGUUAGGCACAAAACCAUUAUUUUUUUAAAGGUGAGAUAUAUUUUGUUAAUUCCUGCUUUUACUUGUUAUAAGAUACUCUAGUGCCUUGCAAAACUGCCCCAUUAAUUGUGAGCCUCUCUGAACUAGGGCAGCCACACGCCACUGGCAUCUGCUAGUUGCAGCACUACCUGAUCCUGCUUUUUCUCAGCAUUUCUGCAUCUUCCAGAUGCUGCCACUUAUGUCACGUCUAGUUGAUGCACCAGAGUCCUGGACUGUCAAAGUCUCCUAAAGCUGUCAGUGUAUUUUAGGUAAGGGAAUAAGGACACUGUUAUUCACUAUUAGCCAAGUGCCAAGGGGGCAUUUCUCUCCGCUACUAAACUAAAAACGUUAAACAUCUUAUCAUUCCUUCAGUUAUAAUUUGAAAUCUGUUUUCCCCCUAAGGAAUAAGAAUCUACAGGGGUUGGAAGAACUACCCAGAUGUCAGGUGCUAUGUUCUUUCUCUCUGGCGUUGGUGCUCUCUGUCAGCUCUCCUGGGAGUCAGUUUGCUCCUAGAGGCUCCUCAGUCUUUCAGGUAAAUAUGGGUCCUUCAGGUUUGCCUCCCCAGACUGCACCGCGCUCAGAUUUGAGGCCUGGUAGUGGACACUGUUUAGAAUUAAGUUGGGAUCUCCUUAUUGUACAUACAAGGUUGUAUCGAAAAUCACUGCUUUGAGACUCUCUCAAGCUCAGAGCCACGUAGGGGAGUGAGAGGAACCAAACUGGAUGGAUGGCAUCCAUCCUGGGUUGCCUUUGCUGCUGAAGUACCUCAGAAUGUGAAGUACUCAGAAUGGAGACGGAAUCUUUAUUGAGGUCAUUAAAUGAAAAUGAGGUCAUUUGGGUGGGCCUUAAUUCAACGUGUUCUUAUAACAAGAGAGGCACAGAAAUGGCCAGACAGGGAGAUGGAGUGGAGAGAGGGAGAGAACCUGGUGGUCUAUAAGCCAAGGGGAGAGUCCUGGGACCUCAAGGCCCUUGAAGAAAUCAACCCUGUGGCACCUUAAUUUCAGACUUCUAUCCUCUAGAAUUACGAAAUAAAUAAAUUUCCAUUCUUUAAGUCACCUGGUCUGUAGUGCUUUGCUCCAGUAGCUCUAAAAAAAUACACAUGAACCAAUGUCCUAGGAGAAGU
rnacentral:lncRNA from 1 species